CUUGAGGCGUGGCUUCCGGAGCUAACGCGUUAAGUCGACCGCCUGGGGAGUACGGCCGCAAGGUUAAAACUCAAAUGAAUUGACGGGGGCCCGCACAAGCGGUGGAGCAUGUGGUUUAAUUCGAUGCAACGCGAAGAACCUUACCUACUCUUGACAUCCAGAGAACUUUCCAGAGAUGGAUUGGUGCCUUCGGGAACUCUGAGACAGGUGCUGCAUGGCUGUCGUCAGCUCGUGUUGUGAAAUGUUGGGUUAAGUCCCGCAACGAGCGCAACCCUUAUCCUUUGUUGCCAGCGGUCCGGCCGGGAACUCAAAGGAGACUGCCAGUGAUAAACUGGAGGAAGGUGGGGAUGACGUCAAGUCAUCAUGGCCCUUACGAGUAGGGCUACACACGUGCUACAAUGGCGCAUACAAAGAGAAGCGACCUCGCGAGAGCAAGCGGACCUCAUAAAGUGCGUCGUAGUCCGGAUUGGAGUCUGCAACUCGACUCCAUGAAGUCGGAAUCGCUAGUAAUCGUAGAUCAGAAUGCUACGGUGAAUACGUUCCCGGGCCUUGUACACACCGCCCGUCACACCAUGGGAGUGGGUUGCAAAAGAAGUAGGUAGCUUAACCUUCGGGAGGGCGCUUACCACUUUGUGAUUCAUGACUGGGGUGAAGUC
rnacentral:rRNA from 1 species